ensembl:lncRNA
GGGGGAACGCAAUAACACACAUAAAACUGCCGCGUAGAUCACACCACAGUCCAGAAACGGAUCCGCCCCCCUGUGGCUCACCAGCGCGUCCUAACGCCACGACACUCCUGAGCCCCGAAGCCGCGGAGCCUUCACCAGUGAGGCCUCAUGGAAAAACCCAAGUGGACACUGCGAGGAGGCCCAGCUCUGUGGUCCUGGCAGGGGAAUAUGAUGUGAUAAACACACAGUGAACCUUCAAACCAGCGCAGUCAGCCGGUGCCCGGUGGUGAUGGUGAGAGGCCGGCAGUGAGG